AGUGAACGCUGGCGGUAGGCCUAACACAUGCAAGUCGAACGGCAGCACAGUAAGAGCUUGCCCUUACGGGUGGCGAGUGGCGGACGGGUGAGGAAUACAUCGGAAUCUACUUUUUCGUGGGGGACAACGUAGGGCCACUUACGCUAAUACCGCAUACGAUCUACGGGUUAAAGCAGGGGAGCUUCGGACUCUUCCCGACUGAAUUAGACGAUGUCGGAUUAGCUAGUUGGCGGGGUAAAGGCCCACCAAGGCGACGAUCCGUAGCUGGUCUGAGAGGAUGAUCAGCCACACUGGAACUGAGACACGGUCCAGACUCCUACGGGAGGCACCAGUAGGGAAUAUUGGACAAUGGGCGAAAGCCUGAUCCAGCCAUACCGCGUGGGUGAAGAAGGCCUUCGGAUUGUAAAGCCCUGUUGUUAGGAAAGAAAAGCAGCAGGUUAAUCCCUCGCUGUUUUGACGGUACCCAAAGAAUAAGCACCGGCUAACUUCGUG
rnacentral:rRNA from 1 species